AAAAUUUCUGAUCCGAUGAUGAGUUUGCGACUAGGGCGGUCUGCAAACAUGCUGAUGAUUGUCAUGUGUACGGGU
rnacentral:snoRNA from 1 species